rnacentral:rRNA from 1 species
UACGUACCGUACGAACGUUAUUCGGAAUUACUGGGCUUAAAGGGUUUGUAGGCGGCCUUGUAAGUCAGGUGUGAAAUCCCUCGGCUCAACCGAGGAACGGCGCUUGAUACUGCAAGGCUUGAGGGAGACAGGGGUAAGCGGAACUGAUGGUGGAGCGGUGAAAUGCGUUGAUAUCAUCAGGAACACCGGUGGCGAAAGCGGCUUACUGGGUCUCUUCUGACGCUGAGGAACGAAAGCUAGGGUAGCGAACGGG